GUUGAAUUUACUGGCCUUUAUGGCGAUUUAAAACCUAAUAAUUUUUCACGUGCCCUCGAACAUCGGCAAAAUAGCGGUUCUGAUUGGCAUUGGCAGGGGACAAUUUAAUUAGCAAAGCUACAUAACAUGGAUUUUGAAUGGAUUUUUUUUGUACGGACCUGAUUUCUUCAUGUCACAUGGUGCUUUCGUUUUGGGGUUAUGUACUCUACUGGCUCUAAUCUAGAAGGAGAUUUUAAGCAACUGUGAGCUAACGUCUAACCUAGACCACUACCAGAGCUGGGCGUAUUGUGAAGUGGAAGAGGUGAAGCUUGGAAGCCUGCAGUUUUUCUUUGACUGGGAAUUGGAUGUCUGGGAGAGUCUCGAAUCUGAAGUAGUCUGCUGUGUGUGGAGCUAGGUGACACAACAUAACAUUUUUUUUUUAUUCACUUAUUUUAUUUUUAUUAUCACAACUUUUAUCUUUUGAGUUGAGAUACAUACAUAAGCUUAUUUAAAAUUUUAUUGACAUUAUUUAAUCGAUGCUAUUUUAUUAUUGAAUAUUACUGAUAAGAGUACAUAUAUAUGUGACAAGUGACUCCUGUGAGGUAAGACGCAGCCGGCUUCGUAGUACUACGAGUAUAUACUUGGGUUAUAUUAUUUAUUUUCAGACUACUCCUAAGAUGUCAAAUUUUCUCAGAUUAGCUAGUAAAUAUUAGAGUAAACUAAUAAAAGGGUAGUUUUAAGUGGGGAAGCUUCAACAGUUAGGGUUGUUAUUUUUUUUUGCUUAGGUCAAUGUCCGUGGCGGGAUAUACCGGGCCAUGUAAGUUAUUAGUUUAAUUGAAUUGAAGCUUCAUUCCCCAAAAGGUUUGGGUGUAACAUAAUUUAUUUUAUUUUGACAACCACACUUUGAUUGUGUAUUUUUUGUGUGAUGUUGUGGUUCCUUAUUACCAACUUAAAUAAUUAUUCCUCUUAACGAUAAAUAACAUAACAUAAUUCUCUGUGAUAAUCAAGACUUAAAUAAAUUGUUAUUUUCUGUUGGUAA